UAGAUUUGUAUUUACUGUAAGGAGUCUGCUGGGUAUUCCCCCUGGCGUAUGGUAACUUGAAUCAUGCGCCGAACAGGAUACUUUAGACAGGCUCUCCACACAACAGUGAGACUGUCGUUGACAGAUAUAGUUAUGACAGCAUAACGGUAUGUGAAAUUGAUGGAAGAAUCUUUGCUAAGAACUUCCUAUUUUAGAUGGACAAUAGAGACUUAAAUUUAUUUGAAAUGCGGAUGUAGGUCAAACAUCCGUUUUUUUCCAUGGAUGGAUAUGUUUUUUUUUCAGAUAACAUACCUCGAUAACUACUUCUCUGUGGAUGCACAUUCUUACAUUUAUAACACUUCUUAUUUGAAAAAAACAUUCCUAUUUUUAUUGCAGCAUGUGAUUUCAGUUUUUAAUUUCUAUAUAUCUUGCAAGGGAUGCACCUAAAUCUCUGGGGUACCGAUACCUAAUACUGAUCCAAUACAAGUGUUUUUUUUCUUCUGGAAUUUCAAAUCUGUACAUCACUGUGUGGAAGUCACUUGAAUAUUGUAUGUAAGAUAACAUUUAGUAAUUGAUUUCUGUGGCACUAAAAGUUUGGUUUGUUGCACAGCUUGUCUGGAUGAUUGUAACUUGUGGCAGAAACGCUGAAUUUUAUGACAUUCACACAGACACUGUAUUUAAUAUGGAUCACACCAUGACUUAUAUCUGAUUUGUAAAAA